rnacentral:rRNA from 1 species
CCUACGGGUGGCAGCAGUGGGGAAUAUUGGGCAAUGGACGCAACUCUUACCCAGCAAUGCCGCGUGAAUGAAGAAGGUCCUCGGGUUGUUAAGUCUCUUUUUUCAGGACGCAAAAAAUGCCGGUACUCAAGGAACAAGCCUCGCCUAACUAAAUGCCAGCAGCCGCGGCAAUACGUCGGGGGCAGGCGUUGUUAGGAAUGGCUUGGCGUAAAGGGUUUGUAGGCGGUGUAGGUAGUGAGAAGGGAAAUACCGGGGGGUUAAAUCAGGUGCUGCUUCUAAAUCUGCUAUACUUGAGUGGACGAGAAGAAAGUGGAAUGCGUGGUGUAGCGGUGGAAUGCAUAGAUAUUACGCAGAACAUCGAUGGCGAAGGC